AAAAAGAUAAACCCUAAGUUUCCGUGUCCAACUUUAACUGUCUAUCUUAUAUGAAAAUUUUUUAUAAUUCGUAUUUUCAUUAUUGUUAGAUGAGAAAACAUGAUUAAUAUUUUAUGCGUGACUUGUCUUUUUAAUUUUUUUUAUAAUUUUUUUAAAUAAGACGGACGGUCAAACGUUGGGCACAGAAAUUAGGUUGUCUUUUUU
rfam:Oryza sativa (indica cultivar-group) chromosome 3, whole genome shotgun sequence.